rnacentral:rRNA from 1 species
CAGCCGUAAACUAUGCUCGCUAGGUGUCAGGCAUGGCGCGACCGUGUCUGGUGCCGCAGGGAAGCCGUGAAGCGAGCCACCUGGGAAGUACGGCCGCAAGGCUGAAACUUAAAGGAAUUGGCGGGGGAGCACAACAACGGGUGGAGCCUGCGGUUUAAUUGGACUCAACGCCGGGAAGCUCACCGGAUAAGACAGCGGAAUGAUUGCCGGGCUGAAGACUCUGCAUGACUAGCUGAGAGGAGGUGCAUGGGCGUCAGUGACU